GGGGAUGACAGGCUUUCGACAGGGCAGGUGUGAUAUGGAGUUGCACUCCGAGUUUCAGCAUGGAUGGACUCGUUAAAGAAGUCUAUGUACCUAUUACAUGCAGACGAUCAUUCGUAUGCAAUGGCUGCCUGAUUAGCAAAAGUUAAUUCACCAGCCAUCGUCCGUCCGGGGGAUGCGCUUACUCUGAAUCCGGCGGAUGGCAUAACCCGCGCUUGAGCUUCGGUUCGCGCAAGUAGGCUCCUUCUUCUUUUUCCCUGGAAAGGGGAAGGGUAAACACAGGGAUAGUGAAACGGCCUUUACAGGUGUAGUUCCGUUUCGCGAAACACCGAACACCUGAGAUGAGUGUGGUAGCUUUAUAGAGCAAUGUUCUGGACGCGGGUUCGACUCCCGCCAUCUCCACUG
rnacentral:tmRNA from 1 species